UGCGCAGGUGGAUUAAUAAGUCGGGGGUUAAAUCCAUGUGCUUAACACAUGCACGGCUUCCGAUACUGUUGAUCUAGAGUCUCGAAGAGGAAGGUGGAAUUUCCGGUGUAACGGUGGAAUGUGUAGAUAUCGGAAAGAACACCAGUGGCGAAGGCAGCCUUCUGGUCGAGUACUGACGCUCAUGCACGAAAGCGUGGGGAGCAAACAG
rnacentral:rRNA from 1 species